CGCACAUUGCGCCCUCUGGUAUUCCAGGGGGCAUGCCUGUUCGAGCGUCAUUACAACCCUCAAGCGUAGCUUGGUAUUGGGCCUUCGCUCUGCCUUGCAGGGCGUGCCCGAAAGCGAGUGGGUGUCCGGUGGGACUUUGGGCGUAGUAAAUUUUUCCCGCCCUGAAAGUUCCCCAUCGCGAUGUCCAGCAAAUUUUUAUACCGAUUAAUUGACCUCGGAUCAGGUAGGGAUACCCGCUGAACUUAA
rnacentral:misc_RNA from 1 species